CAGCAGCCACGGUAAUACAGAGGGUGCAAGCGUUAAUCGGAUUUACUGGGCGUAAAGGGCGCGUAGGUGGUUAUGUAAGUGAGAUGUGAAAUCCCUGGGCUCAACCUGGGAACUGCAUCUUAUACUGCGUAGCUGGAGUGCAGUAGAGGGUAGUGGAAUUUCCGGUGUAGCGGUGAAAUGCGUAGAUAUCGGAAGGAACACCAGUGGCGAAGGCGGCUACCUGGACUGACACUGACACUGAGGCGCGAAAGCGUGGGGAGCAAACAGGAUUAGAUACCCGCGUAGUCCCUGUCUCUUAUAC
rnacentral:rRNA from 1 species